GACGAACGCUGGCGGCGUGCUUAACACAUGCAAGUCGAACGGAAAGGCCUCAGCUUGCUGGGGUACUCGAGUGGCGAACGGGUGAGUAACACGUGGGUGAUCUGCCUUGCACUCUGGGAUAAGCUUGGGAAACUGGGUCUAAUACCGGAUAUGAACUGCCUUUAGUGUGGUGGUUGGAAAGUUUUUUCGGUGCAAGAUGAGCUCGCGGCCUAUCAGCUUGUUGGUGGGGUAAUGGCCUACCAAGGCGUCGACGGGUAGCCGGCCUGAGAGGGUGUACGGCCACAUUGGGACUGAGAUACGGCCCAGACUCCUACGGGAGGCAGCAGUGGGGAAUAUUGCACAAUGGGCGGAAGCCUGAUGCAGCGACGCCGCGGGGGGGAUGACGGCCUUCGGGUUGUAAACUCCUUUCGACAGGGACGAAGCUUUUUGUGACGGUACCUGUAGAAGAAGCACCGGCUAACUACGUG
rnacentral:rRNA from 1 species